rnacentral:rRNA from 1 species
AGGACGAACGCUGGCGGCGUGCUUAACACAUGCAAGUCGAACGGUGAUCCGGUGCUUGCACCGGUGAUCAGUGGCGAACGGGUGAGUAACACGUGAGUAACCUGCCCCCGACUCUGGGAUAACCCCGGGAAAUCGGAGCUAAUACCGGAUACGAGACGCACAGGCAUCUGUGGCGUCUGGAAAGAAAUUCGGUCGGGGAUGGACUCGCGGCCUAUCAGCUAGUUGGUGGGGUAAUGGCCCACCAAGGCGACGACGGGUAGCCGGCCUGAGAGGGCGACCGGCCACGACUGGGACUGAGACACGGCCCAGACUCCUACGGGAGGCAGCAGUGGGGAAUAUUGCACAAUGGGCGAAAGCCUGAUGCAGCGACGCCGCGUGGGGAUGAAGGCCUCGGGUGUAACCCUUCAGCAGGAAGAAGCGGAAGUGACGGUACUGCAGAAGAAGCGCCGGACUAACUACGUGCCAGCACGCCGC